rnacentral:lncRNA from 10 species
AAGAGUUGAUGGGAAGGUUGUAUAAAUGAAUUUUGGUGAAUUCUCAACAUGAUUUAUUUAUUUUUAUUUUAUUUUUCGAGACAGAGUUCCACUGUCACCCAUGCUGGAGUGCAGUGUCAUGAUCUUGACUCAUCGCAACCUCCGCCUCUGGGGCUCAAGCGAUUCUCCUGCUUCAGCCUCCAGUGUAGCUGGGAUUACAGU